AAAAAAGAUAAACCUAGGUUUCCAUGUCCAACUUUUGACUGUUCGUCUUAUUUGAAAAAAUUAUGAAAAAAAAUUAAAAAUAUAAGUCACGCAUAAAGUAUAAAUCAUGUUUUAUCAUUUUAACAAUAAUGAACAUACUAAUUAUAAAAAAAAUUCAUAUAAGACGGAGUCAAAUGUUGGACACGGAAACCCAUGGUUUGCCUUUUU
rfam:Oryza barthii chromosome 5, whole genome shotgun sequence.